rnacentral:rRNA from 1 species
GACGAACGCUGGCGGCGUGCUUAACACAUGCAAGUCGAACGAAGUGGCGAACGGGUGAGUAACGCGUAAUCAAACUGCCCUUCAGAGGGGGACAACAGUUGGAAACGACUGCUAAUACCGCAUACGGAAGGCGGGGAUUGCGUCUGUUUGGCUAGUUGGGGGGGUAACGGCCUAACAAGGCGAUGAUAGGUAGACGGUCUGAGAGGACUGACGGCCACAUUGGGACUGAGACACGGCCCAGACUCCUACGGGAGGCAGCAGUGGGGAAUCUUCCGCAAUGGACGUAAGUCUGACGGAGCAACGGCGCGUGAGAGAUGACGGCCUUCGGGUUGUAAAGCUCUGUUAAUCGGGACGCGGUACCGGAAUAGAAAGCCACGGCUAACUACGUGCCAGCAGCCGCGGUAAUAC